rnacentral:rRNA from 1 species
CUUGCCGGUGCUUACCAUGCAAGUCGAACGGAGAUUCAGCAAUGGAUCUUAGUGGCGAACGGGUGAGUAACGCGUAGGCAAUCUGCCUUCUAGAUGGGGACAACAUCCCGAAAGGGGUGCUAAUACCGAAUGUUGUACCGUUUCCGCAUGGAGAUGAUACUAAAGGUGGCCUCUGAAUAUGCUACCGCUAGAAGAUGAGCCUGCGUCUGAUUAGCUAGUUGGAGGGGUAACGGCCCACCAAGGCUUCGAUCAGUAGCCGGUCUGAGAGGAUGAACGGCCACACUGGGACUGAGACACGGCCCAGACUCCUACGGGAGGCAGCAGUGGGGAAUCUUCCGCAAUGGACGAAAGUCUGACGGAGCAACGCCGCGUGAGUGAAGAAGGUUUUCGGAUCGUAAAGCUCUUUCGUUAGGGACGAACGUGCUCUUUGUGAAUAAUGAGGAGUAAUGACGGUACCUAAAUAAGAAGCCACGGCUAACUACGUGCCAGCAGCCGCGGUAAUACGUAGGUGGCAAGCGUUGUCCGGAAUUAUUGGGCGUAAAGCGCGCGCAGGCGGGAUAUCAAGUCUGUCUUAAAAGUGCGAGGCUCAACCUCGUGAGGGGACGGAAACUGGUAUUCUUGAGUGUCGGAGAGGAAAGUGGAAUUCCAAGUGUAGCGGUGAAAUGCGUAGAGAUUUGGAAGAACACCAGUGGCGAAGGCGACUUUCUGGACGAUGUCUGACGCUGAGGCGCGAAAGCUAGGGGAGCGAACGGGAUUAGAUACCCCGGUAGUCCUAGCCGUAAACGAUGGGUACUAGGUGUAGGGGUAUCGACCCCUCCUG